rnacentral:tRNA from 7 species
GCCCUCGUAGCGCAAAUGGAUAGAGCAUCUCCCUGCGAAGGAGAAGGUUUCCCGUUCGAAUCGGGACGAGGGCA